AUGGAUACAUCAGAAGAUCAUAGGUCAAAUCGUUCAUACACGGUGAACCCACAAGACGACGUGGUGAAUGAUCCUCAUGCCUCGCUAGGUAAGCUCAUCCCCAUCAAGACUUCACUGUCACUAUCCUCAAACCACCACCUAUUGAAACCCCAAAGCCCCCUCAUUCAGCCAAUAAACUGUAUAUUAAACAAACACAACUUCAUGGCCUCUAUGUAUUCUCUGGUGACCCUAAAGGUUAAAAGGGAGUGUUUGACUUGAUUAUUCUUUGGCACCGUGUGUCAAAAGGUAUAUCCAAGUAAUGUCUGGGAAACCAAGACACCAUCGCGUGCCUAAUCACUUGGCAGGCCUUCUGCUAUUUCUACUGUUUUCUUUGGUUCUAUUAUCACAGGUAGAGCUAUUUAUGUUGUGCCUCGAUUAGCGUAAGACGGUAACAAAAGCGAAAGGGUGAGUCCUCUGUCUUUGGCCUACGUUCAAUUCCUUCCAAAUGUAAGCUGGAAAGCCUGUGUGUCUGUGAUAUUAUGAUAAAGAAAGUUUGGAGGGGAGUGGUAUAUCUCCUUUACUGGAAGUUACAGCAGUAAAAAAGAGGAACACAGCACAAUUUAGAGGGCUGGAGAUGGAAGGACCCUAACAAAAUCAGUUUAUUUCUAAUCUAGGAUCAUCAACAAUCUUUGUGCUUUUUUAAAUGUAAUUAUCCUUUACAUUUCCCUUUAAUGAUCAGUUUCUCCAUAACACUCUCUUCCACACCCACAUCUCAAAACUGAAUGAACAACAUCUCAAACAUACCUUAAUUACCCCAGUUACCACACACACACCUCCAGUCUUCAUAAGAAAGAGCCUCCUAUACAUUCUUAUCAUCCUUUGGAGUGCCAGAAACUGACAGACUGGCUUCCAGUUUUUCUAUAUACAUUAGUUGAUACUUUACAUUCUUGUGAAGUGCACAAUGUAAAGAGACAUCAGGUCCAUGUUAAACCAUUAUAUCUUGUUUCCUAUUUCCAUAACAGCAUAGUACUUUGGCUGUGGUAUCCUGACAACAAUUCCAGUGUUUAAAAAAACAUAUAUAUAUUAACAAGCUUCAUUUGCAACAUUCUAAAUGGAUAUCAUGUCCGUACGAAUUGAAUUAAAAUGUUUUUAUUGCUUUUAAAGACUAUCCUAUACACAGAAUAUAUUUC
rnacentral:lncRNA from 1 species